rnacentral:rRNA from 1 species
CCUACGGGCGGCAGCAGUGAGGGAUAUUGGUCAAUGGGGGAAACCCUGAACCAGCAACGCCGCGUGAGGGAAGACGGUUUUCGGUUUGUAAACCUCUAUCCGCAGUGAAGAUAAUGACGGUAGCAGAGUAGGAAGCCCCGGCUAACUACGUGCCAGCAGCCGCGGUAAUACGUAGGGAGCAAGCGUUGUCCGGAUUUACUGGGUGUAAAGGGUGCGUAGGCGGCCGUGCAAGUCAGAAGUGAAAUGCAGGGGCUUAACCCCGGAACUGCUUUUGAAACUGUGGGGCUUGAGUGCAGUAGAGGUAAGCGGAAUUCCCGGUGUAGCGGUGAAAUGCGUAGAGAUCGGGAGGAACACCAGCGGCGAAGGCGGCCUGCUGGGCUUUAACUGACGCUGAGGCACGAAAGCGUGGGUAGCAAACAGGAUUAGAUACCCUAGUAGUC